GGGUGCGAUAAUACCGACACUAACGCAUUGGAUCCCAAUGGAACUCCGCAGUUAAGCGUCUUUGGACGAGAGUAGCACUAGGAUGGGUUACCUCCUAGGAAGUCCUCGUGUUGCACCCC
rfam:Beta vulgaris subsp. vulgaris contig118108.1, whole genome shotgun sequence.